GGAGAUUUAGCUUAGUAGCGUAAGCAUCUGAUUGGGAAAUACAAGGUUGUGAGUUUGAUCCCCAUUAUCCCCC
rnacentral:tRNA from 1 species